GAUGAACGCUGGCGGCGUGCCUAAUACAUGCAAGUCGAGCGAACAGACGAGGAGCUUGCUCCUCUGACGUUAGCGGCGGACGGGUGAGUAACACGUGGAUAACCUACCUAUAAGACUGGGAUAACUUCGGGAAACCGGAGCUAAUACCGGAUAAUAUAUUGAACCGCAUGGUUCAAUAGUGAAAGACGGUUUUGCUGUCACUUAUAGAUGGAUCCGCGCCGCAUUAGCUAGUUGGUAAGGUAACGGCUUACCAAGGCGACGAUGCGUAGCCGACCCGAGAGGGUGAUCGGCCACACUGGAACUGACACACGGUCCAGACUCCUACGGGAGGCAGCAGUAGGGAAUCUUCCGCAAUGGGCGAAAGCCUGACGGAGCAACGCCGCGUGAGUGAUGAAGGUCUUCGGAUCGUAAAACUCUGUUAUUAGGGAAGAACAAAUGUGUAAGUAACUAUGCACGUCUUGACGGUACCUAAUCAGAAAGCCACGGCUAACUACGUG
rnacentral:rRNA from 1 species